UACGAAAGGAGCAAGUGUUAUUCAGAUUAACUGGGCGUAAAGGGCACGUAGGUGGUUUGUUUAUGUGUAUUAUUAAAUUAUAAAAGCAUAACUUUAUAAUGUAGUAUAAACAGCAAAACUAGAGUUAGGUAGGAGAGGUAGUUAGAAUUUCUAAAUGUAAAAGGUGAAAUUUGAUAAAAUUAGAGAGAAUACCAAAUGGCGUAAGCAACUACUUGGAC
rnacentral:rRNA from 1 species